UGGCAGUGUUGAUCGUUUCAGAGAUGUGUCGGUUUGGACAAUUGAUAUAGGACAUUGGGAGCUGUUUAUGUCCAUCGCGGUGUACCAGUUAUGCUUGGAGGGCCGAUUUGUUCGAAUAUUCGUCAGGGAUGGAGCUAUGUUUUUACGAUGUCAUCCUUGGGAUGGAUUGGCUGUCACGGCAUCGAGUAGUGUUGGAUUUCCUAAGGGCAAGAGU
rnacentral:lncRNA from 1 species